rnacentral:rRNA from 1 species
UACGUAGGGUGCAAGCGUUGUCCGGAAUUAUUGGGCGUAAAGAGCUCGUAGGCGGUUUGUUGCGUCGGCUGUGAAAUCCCGAGGCUCAACCUCGGGUCUGCAGUCGAUACGAGCAAACUAGAGUGUUGCAGGGGAGACUGGAAUUCCUAGUGUAGAGGUGAAAUGCGCAGAUAUCGGGAGGAACACCUAUGGCGAAGGCAGCUCGCUGGGACGUUACUGACGCUGAGACGCGAAAGCGUGGGGAGCAAACAGG